UCGAGGAUCUCUGGCAAUGAGCGCAAGCUUGACCAAGCGACGCCGCGUGUGCGAUGAAGGCCUUCGGGUUGUAAAGCACUGUCGAGGGGGACGAAGCCGCAAGGUUGACCGAUCCCUGGAGGAAGCACGGGCUAAGUUCGUGCCAGCAGCCGCGGUAAGACGAACCGUGCGAACGUUGUUCGGAAUCACUGGGCUUAAAGGGCGCGUAGGCGGCUUGUCAAGUCGGGGGUGAAAUCCGGCAGCUUAACUGUCGAAGUGCCUUCGAUACUGACAAGCUCGAGGGAGGUAGGGGUCUGUGGAACUUCUGGUGGAGCGGUGAAAUGCGUUGAUAUCAGAAGGAACGCCGGUGGCGAAAGCGACGGACUGGAGCUCUUCUGACGCUGAGGCGCGAAAGCUAGGGGAGCGAACGG
rnacentral:rRNA from 1 species